UGAAAGUCAAAUAUCAGAAAGCAGAAAGAGAAGAUGAUGACCCUCCCUGCUGUGUUCCUGUGUCUUGGUGUGCUGCUACUGUCUCCUGGCCCAGGGGAAGCAAAUGCACCUGUGAUUAAGUGCUGUUUGAGAGUGUCAGAUAUGAAAAUUCCUGUGAGCAGGAUUGCUCGUUAUGAAAAACAGAUGAAAGGUCUAUGUCCCAUUGAAGCAAUCAUCUUCACAACAGUUAAAGGCCUUACAUAUUGCAGCGGCUUAAACCAGUGGGCAGCAAGAGUCAUGCACAUUAUGGAUGGAAAGAUCACCACAUUACCAAACCCGUCGAUGUUGAGCACCACAGAAAAAACUGUGCACCCAUCCCAGUCAAUGUUGAACACCACAACGAAAUCUGAGCACCCAUACCCAUCAAUGUUGAGCACCACAGCCAAAUCCCAUACCCUUCGAUAUUGAACCCCACACACCAAACUAUGCAAUUCUGUGUCAAACAAAAUGAUAACUAAAUCAAGUAGCUUUUUUAGCAUGUUAAGACAGAUAAAUUUCAAAGAAAACAAAAAAUAAAAUCAAAAACAUGCAUCACAAAAUUACCUAUGGAUAAUUUAUGGAUUUUUCUUUCUUCCAUUCUAUGCUCUUCCAAAUUUUGAAUCAACUAGUUUCCGCUGCUGCCAACAGCCUUAAAGCAAACAGCAGCUGAAAUGUGCACACUCCUUCAAUGAACUUGUUUGCAUGCCUAAAUCUAUAACAGAAACACAAAUACAUCACGAGUGGAGGUCAUUUAGAACUUCAAAAUGUUUGUGACUUUGAAGGUGACAGUAACAUGCACUGAUUAAAGUAGUGUAACCUUUUGUUGAUUGGAAUUGUUUCUACUCUCAUUUUGUAGCUAAUAAAACACAUUGAAUUAAGCAAUAACCAAAA